rnacentral:rRNA from 1 species
CCUACGGGUGGCAGCAGUGAGGAAUAUUGGUCAAUGGCCGGAAGGCUGAACCAGCCAAGCCGCGUGAAGGACGAAGGUGCCAAGCAUUGUAAACUUCUUUUGUCAAGGGACACAAUCAGGCUCGAGAGCCUGACCGAGGGUACUUGAAGAAAAAGCAUCGGCUAACUCCGUGCCAGCCGCCGCGGUAAUACGGAGGAUGCGAGCUUUAUCCGGUUUUAUGGGGUUUAAAGGGUGCGUAGGAGGACUGUUAAGUCAGCGGGAAAAGCCCGGGGCUCAACCCCGGCGAGCCGUUGAGACGGGCUGUCUUGAGAUGUCGAGAGGUAUGCGGAAUGCGCAGUGUAGCGGUGAAAUGCUUAGAUAUUGCGCAGAACUCCGAUUGCGAAGGCAGCAUACCGGCGGCGAUCUGACGCUGAGGCACGAAAGCGUGGGUAUCGAACAGGAUUAGAUACCCGGGUAGUC